AGAGUUUGAUCCUGGCUCAGAGCGAACGCUGGCGGCGUGCCUAACACAUGCAAGUCGAACGUGAAAGGGAGCAAUCCCAAGUAAAGUGGCGUACGGGUGAGUAAUGCGUAGGUAAUCUACCCCAAAGUUUGGAAUAACCUGCCGAAAGGCGGGCUAAUACUGAAUAGAGCGACGGAAUCCGUAAUUGGGUUUUUACGGGAAAGGGAGGAAGCAAUUCCCUUCGCUUUGGGAUGAGCCUACGUCUCAUUAGCUAGUUGGUGGGGUAAUGGCCCACCAAGGCUAUGAUGGGUAGCUGGUCUGAGAGGAUGAUCAGCCACACUGGAACUGAAACACGGUCCAGACUCCUACGGGAGGCAGCAGUGGGGAAUCUUGCGCAAUGGACGAAAGUCUGACGCAGCCACGCCGCGUAAGUGAAGAAGGCCUUCGGGUUGUAAAGCUCUGUCGAGCGGGACGAAAGAGUUCUUAGGUGAACUAGCUUAGGGAUGUGACGGUACCGCUUAAGGAAGCACCGGCNUAACUCCGUGCCAGCAGCCGCGGUAAUACGGAGGGUGCAAGCGUUGCUCGGAAUUAUU
rnacentral:rRNA from 1 species